UGGUUCUGGCAUCGAUGAAGAACGCAGCGAAAUGCGAUAAUUAAUGUGAAUUGCAGAAUUUAGUGAAUCAUCGAAUCUUUGAACGCUCAUUGCGCCCCUUGGUAUUCCGGGGGGCAUGCCUGUUCGAGCGUCAUUUCAACCCUCAAGCUCUGCUUGGUCUUGGGCCGCGCCGGCAACGGCGGGCCUCAAAAACAGUGGCGGCGCCAUCGUGUCCCUCAGCGUAGUAAUUCUUCUCGCUGUUGGGCCCCGGUGGCCGCUGGCCAGCAACCCACAAUUUUCUAAGGUUGACCUCGGAUCAGGUAGGGAUACCCGCUGA
rnacentral:misc_RNA from 1 species